GAGUUUGAUCAUGGCUCAGGAUGAACGCUGGCGGCGUGCCUAAUACAUGCAAGUCGAGCGAACUGAUUAGAAGCUUGCUUCUAUGACGUUAGCGGCGGACGGGUGAGUAACACGUGGGCAACCUGCCUGUAAGACUGGGAUAACUUCGGGAAACCGAAGCUAAUACCGGAUAGGAUCUUCUCCUUCAUGGGAGAUGAUUGAAAGAUGGUUUCGGCUAUCACUUACAGAUGGGCCCGCGGUGCAUUAGCUAGUUGGUGAGGUAACGGCUCACCAAGGCCACGAUGCAUAGCCGACCUGAGAGGGUGAUCGGCCACACUGGGACUGAGACACGGCCCAGACUCCUACGGGAGGCAGCAGUAGGGAAUCUUCCGCAAUGGACGAAAGUCUGACGGAGCAACGCCGCGUGAGUGAUGAAGGCUUUCGGGUCGUAAAACUCUGUUGUUAGGGAAGAACAAGUACAAGAGUAACUGCUUGUACCU
rnacentral:rRNA from 1 species